UACGUAGGCAGCAAGCGUUGUUCGGAAUUACUGGGCGUAAAGCGCGCGUAGGCGGCUUUGUAAGUUAGCGGUGAAAGCCCGGAGCUCAACUCCGGAAUUGCCUUUAAGACUGCAUCGCUAGAAUCAUGGAGAGGUUAGUGGAAUUCCGAGUGUAGAGGUGAAAUUCGUAGAUAUUCGGAAGAACACCAGUGGCGAAGGCGACUAACUGGACAUGUAUUGACGCUGAGGUGCGAAAGCGUGGGGAGCAAACAGG
rnacentral:rRNA from 1 species